AGAUUGAACGCUGGCGGAAUGCUUUACACAUGCAAGUCGAACGGCAGCACGGGACUCAGGCAACUGAGCCCUGGUGGCGAGUGGCGAACGGGUGAGUAACAUAUCGGAACGUACCCAGUCGUGGGGGAUAACUCUCCGAAAGGAGAGCUAAUACCGCAUACGUCCUGAGGGAGAAAGCGGGGGACCUAAGGGUAACUGAGGGCCUCGCGCGAUUGGAGCGGCCGAUAUCGGAUUAGCUAGUUGGUGAGGUAAAGGCUCACCAAGGCGACGAUCCGUAGCGGGUCUGAGAGGACGACCCGCCACACUGGAACUGAGACACGGUCCAGACUCCUACGGGAGGCAGCAGUGGGGAAUUUGGACAAUGGGCGAAAGCCUAGAUCCAGCCAUGCCGCGUGUG
rnacentral:rRNA from 1 species